UUCGGUCUUCAAAUUGAUUUGCUUAAUCUCUUAUUUUUCGGUCUGUUUCUUUGAUCCUCCUUCUGCAGGUUGCUACCAAUUUUGUUUCAGUUCGUUGACUAUCAUUGUUCCCGCGUUGCCGCUACUUCCUUGAGGAGGUUUUGGAAGGUUAGUUUCGACCUAUUCUUGCAGCCUAAUCACGGGACAGCCGGUUAAGAUUAAAAAAAUUAUCAGUUCCCAAUAAACAGCUUCUAUUUUCUUGCAAAACCCACAAUGAUAGCAACCUAAAACCCUUACUUCGCCCUUCAUUUCAGGCUCUAUGUCUUUGCUUUUAUAUGUCUUACUUUGACUUAUGUGUGAUUAUGGAUGUCUAUUUUUUGCUGUUCUGAUUUGAGUGAAGUUGUGCAGGGAGAAAUACCAUUUUCAUUGACCUGGUGGAAUAAGUUGACUUGGUGGAUAAUCGUUGCCACUGUUGUUUGGCUAGGCUUUACCAAUUUUGUAUCAGACUAAGCAGGCAACACGUAGUCAAUUUUCCUUAGAUUGUUAGAGGCGCCAACAUUUUUCAUUGGAUUUUCAAUUUGUGUUCUACAAACUUAAAUCCUUGGGUAGUCUUGCUAUUUAUUUUUUUACAUCUCUAUUUUUGCGAGGAAUCAUGGCGAAGGAUCCCGAUCUCUACUCUGACAUCGGCAAGAAAGCCAGUGAUAUUCUCUACAAGGACUACCAGACUAACCACAAGUUCACAAUCACCACCUGCUCUCCCAGACUCCCACUAUAGUUUUUCUUCCAAUUUAGAUCUCCAUUUUGCAAGGAAUCACGGCGAAGAGUCCCGAUCUCUUCUAUGACAUUGGCAAAGCGAGGAUCAAGGACUACCAAUUUGACCACAAUUUCACUGAUAGGACCAUUACUAAGCAACACAAGAGGAGAGGCAAGAUGGUUCGUGAGAAGACAAAUGGAGGGUCCUGAUCUUUACACGUGGGGCCUUUUCACUGGAGCAAGCACGUUGCUGAGACUUUGGCAGGGUUUUAAGUAGUGGUAGUAUGGCAGAAUAAGGCAAACUAUGUUUUGUCUGGUUUUGUAAUUGGAGGUACUAUCUCCUCGAAAGCUAGGUUAUCUUGUUACUAUCGUUUUCUAUUAUCAAUACAAACACCUAAUCUUAU